rnacentral:rRNA from 1 species
GACGAACGCUGGCGGCGUGCUUAACACAUGCAAGUCGAACGGUGAAGCGCCUUCCUUUUUGGUGGGUGUGGAUGAGUGGCGAACGGGUGAGUAACACGUGAGUAACCUGCCCCCUUCUUCUGGAUAACCGCAUGAAAGUGUGGCUAAUACGGGAUAUUCUGGGUCUGUCGCAUGAUGGGUCUGGGAAAGAUAUUGUUUCGGUGGGGGAUGGGCUCGCGGCCUAUCAGCUUGUUGGUGGGGUGAUGGCCUACCAAGGCGGUGACGGGUAGCCGGCCUGAGAGGGUGGACGGUCACACUGGGACUGAGACCCGGCCCAGACUCCGACGGGAGGCAGCAGUGGGGAAUAUUGCACAAUGGGCGAAAGCCUGAUGCAGCGACGCCGCGUGCGGGAUGGAGGCCUUCGGGUUGUGAACCUCUUUCGCCAGUGAAGCAGGCCUGCCUCGUUUGUGGGUGGGUUGACGGUAGCUGGAUAAGAAGCGCCGGCUAACUACGUG